rnacentral:rRNA from 1 species
GGGCCCGCACAAGCGGUGGAGCAUGUGGUUUAAUUCGACGCAACGCGAAGAACCUUACCUGGCCUUGACAUCCAGCGAACCCUGCAGAGAUGCGGGGGUGCCUUCGGGAACGCUGAGACAGGUGCUGCAUGGCUGUCGUCAGCUCGUGUUGUGAAAUGUUGGGUUAAGUCCCGUAACGAGCGCAACCCUUGUCCUUAAUUGCCAGCACUUCGGGUGGGAACUUUAAGGAGACUGCCGGUGACAAACCGGAGGAAGGUGGGGAUGACGUCAAGUCAUCAUGGCCCUUACGGCCAGGGCUACACACGUGCUACAAUGGGGCAUACAAAGGGCAGCAAGACCGCGAGGUGGAGCCAAUCCCAUAAAAUGCUUCGUAGUCCGGAUUGGAGUCUGCAACUCGACUCCAUGAAGUCGGAAUCGCUAGUAAUCGUGAAUCAGAAUGUCACGGUGAAUACGUUCCCGGGCCUU